UGAAUACGAGAUGCUACGGCGUCGAAGCAGUGUAUGUCAGACUUCCAAGAAAAGCUCGCAAUGUCAUAAAUAAAGAAUGCCUGUACCAUAACCGACACAGGUGGGUAGGUAGAGUAUACUAAGGGGCGCGAGAUAACUCUCUCUAAGGAACUCGGCAAAAUAACUCCGUAACUUCGGGAGAAGGAGUGCCUUCUUUAAGAAGGUUGCAAUAACAAGAUCCAAGCAACUGUUUAUCAAAAACACAGGUCUCCGCUAAGUCGUAAGACGAUGUAUGGGGGCUGACGCCUGCCCAGUGCCAGAAGGUUAAAGAAGUUGGUUAGCUUUUGCGAAGCUGAUGACUGAAGCCCUGGUGAACGGCGGCCGUAACUAUAACGGUCCUAAGGUAGCGAAAUUCCUUGUCGGGUAAGUUCCGACCCGCACGAAAGGCGUAAUGAUUUGGAUACUGUCUCGGAGAGGGACUCGGUGAAAUAGACUUGUCUGUGAAGAUGCGGACUACCUGCACCAGGACAGAAAGACCCUAUGAAGCUUUACUGUAACUUGAAAUUGAAAUUGGACUUUAUUUGCGCAGUAUAGGUGGAAGGCGUUGAAAGUAAUCUUGCGGGAUUAGUGGAGCCAUCAGUGAGAUACCACUCCUAUAAUGUUAGAUUUCUAACUUUGGAUCAUGAUCUGGUCAAAGAACAGUUUCAGGCGGGCAGUUUGACUGGGGCGGUCGCCUCCCAAAUGGUAACGGAGGCGUACAAAGGUUUCCUCUGAACGGGUAGAAAUCGUAUCUAGAGUGUAAAGGCAUAAGGAAGCUUGACUGUGAGACCUACAAGUCGAGCAGGGACGAAAGUCGGUCUUAGUGAUCUGACGGUGCUGAGUGGAAAGGCCGUCACUCAACGGAUAAAAGUUACUCUAGGAUAACAGGCUGAUCUCCCCCAAGAGUUCACAUCGACGGGGAGGUUUGGCACCUCGAUGUCGGCUCAUCGCAUCCUGGGGCGGUAGUACGUCCCAAGGGUUGGGCUGUUCGCCCAUGAAAGCGGUACGCGAGCUGGGUUCAGAACGUCGUGAGACAGUUCGGUCCAUAUCCGGUGUAGGCGUUAGAAUAUUGAGAGGAGCCUUCUUUAGUACGAGAGGACCGAGAAGGACAUACCUCUGGUGUACCAGUUAUCGUGCCAACGGUAAACGCUGGGUAGCUAUGUAUGGAGAGGAUAACCGCUGAGAGCAUCUAAGUGGGAAGCCCACCUCAAGAUGAG
rnacentral:rRNA from 1 species